GGCCCGGUAGCUCAACUUGGUAGAGCGCUGCUGGACUCCAAAUCCGGAGAUCGCAUGUUCAAAUCGUGCCCGGGCCA
rnacentral:tRNA from 1 species